rnacentral:rRNA from 1 species
CGUUCCCGGGCCUUGUACACACCGCCCGUCACACCACGAAAGUGGGCAACACCCGAAGCCGGUGGCCCAACCCUUGUGGAGGGAGCCGUCGAAGGUGGGGCCUCGCGAUUGGGGUG